AACGAACGCUGGCGGCAUGCCUAACACAUGCAAGUCGAACGAGACCUUCGGGUCUAGUGGCGCACGGGUGCGUAACGCGUGGGAAUCUGCCCUUCGGUUGGGAAUAACUGAGAGAAAUUUCAGCUAAUACCUUAUAAUGCCUUCGGACCAAAGAUUUAUCGCCGAGGGAUGAGCCCGCGUAGGAUUAGGUAGUUGGUGGGGUAAUGGCCUACCAAGCCGACGAUCCUUAGCUGGUCUGAGAGGAUGAUCAGCCACACUGGGACUGAGACACGGCCCAGACUCCUACGGGAGGCAGCAGUGGGGAAUAUUGGACAAUGGGCGAAAGCCUGAUCCAGCAAUGCCGCGUGAGUGAUGAAGGCCUUAGGGUUGUAAAGCUCUUUUACCCGGGAUGAUAAUGACAGUACCGGGAGAAUAAGCUCCGGCUAACUCCGUG
rnacentral:rRNA from 1 species